GUCUUUUUGUUUAAAAUUUAAAGUCUAACCUGCCCAAUGAUUAUUUUAAUGGCUGCGGUAUUUUGACCGUACAAAGGUAGCAUAAUCAUUAGUUUUUUAAUUGAAAACUUGUAUGAAUGGUUGAACGAGAAAAUUACUGUCUCAAUUUGAAUUAAUUAGAAUUUUAUUUUUAAGUUAAAAAGCUUAAAUUUAAAUAAAAGACGAGAAGACCCUAUAGAGUUUAAUAUGUAUUUAAAAUAAUUAUUAAGAAUUUAAUAAUUUUAAAUAAAUAUUUUAUUGGGGUGAUAAAUAAAUUUAAUUAACUUUAUUAAAUUUAAAUCAUUAAUUUAUGAAUUAUUGAUCCAAAUUUUUUGAUUAAAAGAUUAAAUUACCUUAGGGAUAACAGCGUUAUUUUUUUUGAGAGUUCUUAUCGAAAAAAAAGAUUGCGACCUCGAUGUUGGAUUAAAAUUAAUUUUUGGUGUAGAAGCUAAACUAUUAAGUCUGUUCGACUUUUAAUUUUUUACAUGAUCUGAGUUUAAAUCGGUGUGAGCCAGAUUGGUUUCUAUCUUUAUUAAAUUAAAAUAUUUUAGUACGAAAGGACCAAAUAUUUAUAAAAUUUAUUAUAUUUUGAAUAU
rnacentral:rRNA from 1 species